rnacentral:rRNA from 1 species
UGGAGGGUUUCCGCCCUUCAGUGCUGCAGCAAACGCAUUAAGCACUCCGCCUGGGGAGUACGACCGCAAGGUUGAAACUCAAAGGAAUUGACGGGGGCCCGCACAAGCGGUGGAGCAUGUGGUUUAAUUCGAAGCAACGCGAAGAACCUUACCAGGUCUUGACAUCCUUUGACCACUCUAGAGAUAGAGCUUUCCCUUCGGGGACAAAGUGACAGGUGGUGCAUGGUUGUCGUCAGCUCGUGUCGUGAGAUGUUGGGUUAAGUCCCGCAACGAGCGCAACCCUUAUUGUUAGUUGCCAUCAUUUAGUUGGGCACUCUAGCGAGACUGCCGGUGACAAACCGGAGGAAGGUGGGGAUGACGUCAAAUCAUCAUGCCCCUUAUGACCUGGGCUACACACGUGCUACAAUGGGAAGUACAACGAGUCGCUAGACCGCGAGGUCAUGCAAAUCUCUUAAAGCUUCUCUCAGUUCGGAUUGCAGGCUGCAACUCGCCUGCAUGAAGCCGGAAUCGCUAGUAAUCGCGGAUCAGCACGCCGCGGUGAAUACGUUCCCGGGCCUUGUACACACCGCCCGUCACACCACGAGAGUUUGUAACACCCGAAGUCGGUGAGGUAACCUUUUUGGAGCCAGCCGCCUAAGGUGGGAUAGAUGAUUGGGGUGAAGUCGUAACAAGGUAACCAAGGGCGAAUUCGCGG